GACGAACGCUGGCGGCAGGCCUAACACAUGCAAGUCGAGCGAGCGGCGGACGGGUGAGUAAUGUAUGGGGACUGCCCGAUAGAGGGGGAUAACUACUGGAAACGGUGGCUAAUACCGCAUACUAUCGGAUUACCCAUAUGGGUUUAGCUAGUAGGUGGGGUAAAGGCUCCCAUAGGCGCCGAUCUCUAGGUGGUGUGGGAGGAUGAUAAGGCACGAUGGGACGUAGAAAAGGCCCAGACGCCUACGGAGGCAGCAGGGGGGAAUAUUGCACAAGGGGCGCAAGCAUGAUGCAGCCAUGCCGCAUGUAUGAAGAAGGCCGUAGGGUUGUAAAGUACUUUCAGCGGGGAGGCGUUACCCGCAGAAGAAGCACCGGCUAACUCCGUGCCAGGAGCCGGGGUAAUUC
rnacentral:rRNA from 1 species